GGGCUGUCAGGAUUCUAAACUGUUGAAGAGACAGUUCUCCAACUGAUACAUUGGACCUGAGAAGAGGAGAAAGGUGUAAUGUUGAAUUAUCUUGAGCCCAUCCAUCAAACAACAGGCCUUGAGGAUCUUCUAGUUGGGGUGAAAGAAUAACUCCAGUCUUCCUCGUGGACAGCCAGAUUGGGGAAUAAAUCACUACUCUGCUAGGACAUCUGAAGACAUCAGCUGGACUCCUGUUUCUGGAUCAAGGACUCUUUGACCAUGCUAGGUGCUGUACCAAGGAAAGAAGGGAUCAAGAUAAUUAAGAGAGGAAAUGAUUCCUGCCCACAAGGACUGUAGCAAUCUAGUAAAGGGACAAAGAUGAUUAUAAAAAAUAAUAAUAGAUCCCAAGUGCAUAUGAGAAUAAUCUAAGAAAGGUCUAAGAGGGAAGACUACUAUAAACCUGAGGAAUGAAACAAGGUUCUCUAUCUGGACUGGAGGAUGUUGGAAUGGAGAGAAGAUACACCAGGCUUAGGAAGCAGCCUGAGAAAGAUCGCUGAGGCAAGAGUGGAGAGUGGAUGUGGAGAAUGGACGGUCGGUCGUCCAGGUUCAUGCGUAGAGUCUGGGAUGGGGAGUAAUAUGAGUAUGCACAGCAGAGGACUGUGGAAAGGAAAGGACAGAAACCAGAAAAGAAGAGCCAAGAUUCACAAGGAUGAUAAGAACAUGAUUCAGGGACACUCUGAACAUACAGAGGAUACCAAAGCUGUAGAUCAAGAUCGAAGGAUGCAUUUGGAAUGGCAACUAGCUGUGGAAGACAAGUGGUGUGUGAGAAUCAAGAGAUGUUCAGAGCAGGUCAAAGCCAAAUAAACAUCCAAGGGACUUUGAUGGAGGGCUGAGAUGGAAGAGCCUCCCAAAGAGCUCCAGCCAGUCAGAGAGAUUAAUCAGAAGAUUCUCUAACUCCUCAGAAAUAAACAUCAUGAAAUGGAAGCA
rnacentral:lncRNA from 1 species